rnacentral:rRNA from 1 species
GGGUUGUGAGGUUAAGCGACUAAGCGUACACGGUGGAUGCCCUGGCAGUCAGAGGCGAUGAAGGACGUGCUAAUCUGCGAUAAGCGUCGGURAGGUGAUAUGAACCGUUAUAACCGGCGAUUUCCGAAUGGGGAAACCCAGUGUGUUUCGGCACACUAUCAUUAACUGAAUCCAUAGGUUAAUGAGGCGAACCGGGGGAACUGAAACAUCUAAGUACCCCGAGGAAAAGAAAUCAACCGAGAUUCCCCCAGUAGCGGCGAGCGAACGGGGAGGAGCCCAGAGCCUGAAUCAGUGUGUGUGUUAGUGGAAGCGUCUGGAAAGGCGUGCGAUACAGGGUGACAGCCCCGUACACAAAAAUGCACAUAUUGUGAGCUCGAUGAGUAGGGCGGGACACGUGGGAUUCUGUCUGGAUAUGGGGGGACCCUCCUCCAAGGCUAAAUACUCCUGCCUGACCNGAAUAUGGGGGGACCAUCCUCCAAGGCUAAAUACCCCUGACUGACCGAUAGUGAACCAGUACCGUGAGGGAAAGGCGAAAAGAACCCCGGCGAGGGGAGUGAAAAAGAACCUGAAACCGUGUACGUAUAAGCAGUGGGAGCCUCUUUAUGGGGUGACUGCGUACCUUUUGUAUAAUGGGUCAGCGACUUAUAUUCUGUAGCAAGGUUAACCGAAUAGGGGAGCCGAAGGGAAACCGAGUCUUAACUGGGCGUUAAGUUGCAGGGUAUAGACCCGAAACCCGGUGAUCUAGCCA